UCCUUGGGAGUGGUCAUAUACAUCAAUCAGGCAAAAGGUUUUGGCCUCCUGAGUCCAAAAUUGUAAUUAGAUCUCAAAUUGGUCAAGAGAUGAUGGAGCUAUUAGCUAAAAGUUUGUACUUGAAAAACACAUAAAAACUCAGAGCCGUUCUGUGAGCCGCUAUGCCAUGGCUAAAUAACCAUAAAAAUAAAUGACAAUCUAAAGUAAUUACAUUUGCAAUAGUAACUAGUAUAACGAGUAUUAUUAAUGAAAGCAACAAUACCUUACUUAUGGAAACCAUAAACACUGUUUCUUGUCGUAUAGUUAUUUGAAUUCUUACUCUAAUAUCUCACCUUAUAAAAGAAAACUUGGUACUGCAUCCAUACUACAUAAUGUCAGUGGCUGCCCUUACUGUAUAAACUAUGUCAGAUUGACAGCAUUCCACAGCAAAAUCAAACAUCAAUGUUUAUAAAAAAAAAAGUUCUACAAAAAUAAUAAAUUAUAUGUACAUAUACAUGAGGUGUAACAUGACAAAGAAAGUAUAGUUAGAUGUAUUACAAUUAUAUAUGUACAUAUACAUGAGGCGUAAUAUCACAAAGAAAGUAUAGUUAGAUGUAUUACAAUUAUAUGUACAAAUACAUGAGGUGUAACAUGACAAAGAAAGUAUAGUUCGAUAUAUUACAAUUAUAUGUACAAAUACAUGAGGUCGACUAGAUGGCUCCUAAAGAUCAUGUGAUUAAUUUCCAUGAUUUUUAGUAAAUAAUUAAUCUUUCACACUUAUGGAAUAUUUCAAGGAUUUUUUUAUUUGAUAUUUUGUAUAAGCACAAUUAGACCUAAAACUGUUACUAAGUGCUGAUAAAUUUUCACACUGCAUCUUAUCCUACAGGCAGUGUAUAAUUCACACAGUAUACAUGUAAUAAGAGACUGUCCCUUGUAUUGAAUUCACACAUAGUAUAUACUUUUUAUUGUAACUUUAAUAGGGUGGUAUGCCAUUUUGUUUAGUUUUAUAAAGUUUAGAUUGGGCAGGAAUUAAACCCACAACUCAGUUACACUGACAGAGACUAAACUACCACAUCUUGUAUACUGUACAUCUCACUUUAUUAGUUAUUAAUGAAUGAUGUUUAACUUGUUUGUACUGUAAAGUGAAAGAUUUAGUUUAUGAAAAUUAAAACAAGCUUGUGAGAAA